rnacentral:lncRNA from 1 species
AUCCCUACAGUGCUUGUUGUGUUGAAUCAAUAUCCUGGUAUGAUGGCAUCGAGGAUAUGGGCAUGGAGAUGAAUUGCAUCUGUCCAUAUGUCUCAGUAACUUUUGCACAGUUAUGCAAUUAACAUCUGAACAUUUCCCUUCAGGAGCUGUACAUCUGCGAGCAUGCCGCAAGAACAAGAGCCACUUCUGUUGAUUUCUGAACUGGCGAUCUCGGUUCGCAAUUCCGGAUUUACAAAUGACACCAUUUGAAUUUUGAGUCUCUGAAGAAUUUCUAGGAGGAGCAUUUUGAACAAUAUUAGAACCUUCUGAAGCAAAAUUAUUCCGUUGAGCUUCAUCCUGACCAGAUAUUCUCUGGUGGAAGUCCUCUUGGACAUGCUGCUCAUGUGGCAUGCUAGGGAUGCAACCUCUGUCCGGCAAAUGAGGACGCCAUUGUCCCUGCAAUAUUUUAGCCGAUGGUGCUCCAAUAGAAUGGCAAGUAAAAUCACUUUGAGACUCUGAAACCAACUGAUGCGGAUGCGACACCUGUUGCAUUUCCUGUGAAUUUUGUGCCAAUGAUGAACACAUGCCAUGCUGUCCAGAUGGCUGAGAGAGACUUUGUGCAGCCUGAGAAUGAUCCUCAACAACAUUCUGCUGGAAUUGAUUUUGCAACUCAGACAUUUGGAGAUGUUGAGAGGUUUGCGAGUGCAGAGCUUCAUUAUGAUGCUCCACUCCAGGCUCACGCUUCACCUGAUUACUGGGAUCGGAUGGCUGAGACUGAUCAAAGGCAUCAUGAAAAAGUUGUUGAUGCUGCUGGUUUUGCUGAUUUUUAAUGUAUUGUUGCUGAACAAAUUGCUGCUGCUGUGGAAAUUGAUGAAGAUGUUGCUGAAAUUGCUGUUGUUGGUGAGUAUGUAGGAUGCUGUCCCUAGAAGGUAGAGACUGAAAGUUCAUCUUUUCAGAUUGAUCAGCUGACUGAGGUUUUACCUGUGCAGCUUGUUGAAUUCCAUGUAAAUUUAACUGAUUAUUUACCAGAGAUGAAUUAGUUUUCGGCAUGGACUGCAAGCUCAUAGAAGUAAUAUUCUGAGCAUUCAUCAUUGAUCCAACAGAUGUUACUGCAUUAUAAAAGUUUCCAGAUCCAAAGGAAUCAGCAUUACUUAUUCCAUAUCCCUCACCUGAAAAAAGUACAUUUACAAUGAAAUGCUAUGUCCCCAAAUAAAGCAAUAUUAUAUACGUUUAAGUUUGACAUAGUUGAUAUCAUAAACAAUGGGAGAGACGUGUUACCAUGCACUAUUUGUUGCUGUUGUUGAUCAAAAUGCUGUUGCAAUGGUUUGGGUGAACUAGCAUACGGUGUGCCAGUCAUAUAACCCUCAGAGACGCAAGGUUCACUCACAAACUGUAAAUUGUUUGCAAUCAUCCCAAUCCCACUAUUUAGAGCUCCAUUCGAGAACCCAUAUGAUUUUUGCUGUAAUCCAGAUCUAAUACUGCUGCCCAUUUGGCUGCCAAGAUUCUGCAUUAUGUGACUGUUUUGACCUCCAGCAUACUGCUUUUGCUGCUGUGGCUGUGAUGCCAUUGUAGAUUCAACAGUUGAAUAACCACCAAGACUACUAGAUGACUCCAUAUUCAUGUAAGAUUGAUUAUUACUCUUGUUAUUGUUAUUGAUAUUAUUAUAUCCAGGAGUUGGAAUCAUCUGGCUUGUCAUUCUUUGCCCACCCAUGGAUGGCAAAUUCCCACCAGAGCUAAUAGAGAAAUUGGCCAGUGUUUGCUGAUAUCCAUUAGACAUAGUCCCUGCAACCAUAGCUUUUGUGACGUUUGAAUAGAGUAAACAAGGGUGCAUUGAUAAUUAAAAUUAUAAAGUUCAGAUAUACCAUCAGAUCUACUGAAGGAACUAUGUAAAGAGCUAGAUGGCAACAGGCUUCCCAUGUUCAUAGUUGUCACUGAUAUACUAUCACAUCCACUGGAAGCAGUCAUCAUGGUAUCUGCAGAAGAUACCAUCAAGUUGGAAUUCCCACUAUGUGACAUGCCAGGAGUGGGUAUCAUGGUACCAAUGGAAGAAGAAGGAUUAACAAGUUGUCCAGGCCGUUGGUUGUGGUUAUUCACAGGUGCGCGUUUGAUCAGACUACUCAGACGACUCUCUAAGGUAUUUAGGUUCAUGUAGUCCUCCUACAAAAAAGUUUUACAGCUGCGUAAAGCACAACACAGAAAAAAAAAACAUUGAGGAACAAUCAAGGACUUAAGAAAAAAAUCCAUCCGCACUGAGCUGACUAAGAAAAAAGACUAUGAAAUUCAAUUCAAUAAACUUGUCAAAAAUAAAUAAUUCAUAGUUUAAUUUAAUUCAUAACUAAUGAGAUAAUCAAGAUAAAUAUAGACUUCAGUGGGGGUUAAAAGAGGAAAGCAACAAACCUUUGACUGAGCAGCUUUAAACAGACCCUCUUCAAGGCGUUUGGCAAUAUCUUUAAAUUUCUGUUUCUGUGGUUCACUAACUGGCUGAGGCUGCCUCUGCAAUAUAAUUGCAAAUCUAGAAAUGAUGGAAAAUAGGAUCAGUAAUAAUACAUAUUUUUUGCAGGUUAGAUUCCCCCGUCGUCACUAUAACAUCAAUGGGAGCCAUGAACAGGUAAAAAAUGGAAGAGAACUUCAGCAGCAAUGUCUAGGUUUAACUAAAAUUACAUAACAAAGCAAGAAAGUCAACUUUAAGAUCUUAAUAUGAAAGGUAUUCAACAGUUGCUUUAACAUUUUUAUGUUUGCCCAUUCGAGAGCACCAUCACGUAAGCAUAUAUAACAGAGUUGACGACAUUUAAUAGCUAAAAUAUCAGUCCAAAACUCCAAAUAAAAUCAUCUUCUCUUCAACGCAACCAUCUAGUGUCUGUGAUUAGUCUCUUAGAUUUUUUUUUGAAAAAAUAAAAUAAAGAAAAUAAAGAAAAAUAAAAUAAAGGAGGAGAGAAAGAGAGUGUGCAACUAAACUUCUGUAAAACCAUAAACUAAUCUAAUGUCAUGAUAAGAUCUGGUAUGUGUAGCACUAAAACUGCAACAAAGCUUUCAUUAAGUUUUAUGGUAAAUUAAAUAGAAAUAAUUGGGAACUGAUAGUAGAUGGAUAAAUGGAUAUCUUACAUUUUCUCACGCAUAAAAAUGCGAGCUCUAUGAAGCUCAGGGUCCAUGGUGAACAUAUUAGGAGAAGUCAAACCUCCACCACUAGCAGCAGCUAAAUUCUGCAACUGAGCUGCAGGUAGCGGAUUCCCAUUCUGCUGGGCCAACUGAUUAGGAACCUGUCCAGAGAUCUGCCCAGAUAAAUGCGCCUGCACAUUCAUCUUUAUUACCCACUCAUGAUGCUGUAACUUUAACAGUAUGGGCCAAAUGUCCACCUUCAAUUCAAAACAAGUAAAACUUAUACGUGAAACUGCCUGUAAUAAGCAACAGGAAGAGUUUAAAAAUAUUGUCAAUUGCAGUUAACAUUUUGUUCUUUAGAGAAACGAAGUCUCUACAUUAGAUUUAUAAGGCAAAGAAGAAUAAUAAAUUGAAAAACGAAAGAAUGAAAGCUUGAUUAGUUAUAAUAAUAAUAAGAGGAGAAGCUGCAUAACGUAGUAUCCUUUGAUUAAACAGAGAGUAACAACGAAUUGAAUGUAGCAAUUAUGUUGCGAAUUUACCAUAACUAGAAAAACUGACUUUGCCACUUAAAAUGCGUAAUUGAGGAAGCAAUUGAAGCAUGGGCAAGGCAAGUAGAGAGAAGAACGCCAGAGAGCAAAAGACUUGUAAUAUGGAAAUUGGUCAAAAGAAGAAAAGGAGAAUGAAAUCAAAAAUACAAUAACGUAAUAUUGACUAUGAAAACAAUUGGUCUGGUGUAUCGUCUGUUGAAGCUAGAAUAAGAUGCAGUUAAAUGCUUGGAGAAAUCGUUUUGAAUGAUUAGACUAAUUUAGUAACCCUAGGCUAGUUUAGCUUAUUGAUGUGAAUCAAAUCAAGAAACCCUAACGAACCUGAAGGCGCAAUAUAUGAGAAUAACAACAAUCGGAAGCUUCAACUUGAGAGAAAAAUCCGUAGGUUUUUCAAGUCGAUGAUGAUCGCUGACGUCCGCCAAUAGCCCGUGCGAAUUUAGACGCUGGCUGUUUACGGUUUAACCCAAAACAGAAGAUGAUGAUUAAAGAUGAAGACUACGAUAAAAAAAAUGACUGAAAAACCGAAUGAAUGAAAGCAGCAGAUGUUUGCAAUCUAAUCGAAAACGAUAACGGUGGCAGUGUCGACGGGAGUGUUGAAUUACUUUUUGGGGGUUCUUCGUUUCCGGGUUCAAUUGGGGAUUAACUUCGUCAAAUUGUCAAAGGAAAAAAUAAAUAAAUAUAAUUACCAAUAUUCUGCAUUUCUUUUUUCUUUUUUUAUCCUUUAAAAGAUAAAUAUACAAUUAGAGUAUUUUUUUUUCAAUGGAACGAAAACAACAAGAGGGAGAAUUUGGGGAUGUUAACGGAAAAAUACCAACUAAGUCCAGUUAAACUGUCUGUUAAAUAAAUUUAAUUUAAAUUUUUGGAUCAAUUAGUUCUUUAUAUUUUUAUUAAUAGUCUAAUAAGACUUAAUAUAAUAAAAUAUUUUUUAAUAAUUAUUAAAUAUCAUUUUUAUAAUUUUAAAUAUAAAAAUUUUAAUAUUUUAAUUAACAUAAAAAUUUUAAAAAUAUAUAAAUAUAAUAAAGAAUUUUUAAAUUACAAAAUUAAAAUUUUAUUAUAUAAAAUAUUUUUAUUAUUAAAAAAUAAUAUUAUAUUAGAUACCAAUUUAUUUGAUACUUAAAUAAAAAUAUAAAAACUUAAUUUAAGUUAUAUCUCAAACCAACCGUACUAUCUAUUGUUUUAUAAUUAUGUAUAAAUAUAUAUGUAUUUUGAAUGAUUUAUAAAUAUAAUUAUGUACCAAUUUAAAUUUUUUUAUUUUUUUUAUUGUUUAAAUUUUAAUAUUUUAAUAUUUAUUUAUUUAUUUAUAACAUCAAAUGAUUUAUAAAUAUUUAUAAAAUGUUCAUUGUAAUUGAAUAAUAAAUAUUAUUUGAUGUUAUAAAUAAAUAAAUAAAUAUUAAAAUAUUAAAAUUUAAACAAUAAAAAAAUAAAAAAUUUAAAUAUUAAAAUCUAUAUAAUAAAAAAAUUUUAAUUAACUAAAUUGUAUUAUUUUAUAUAUGAGAUAUUAAAGAUUGCUGAAAUAAUAUCUUCUAUCCCAUAUAAAAAACUUAUAGAAACAGAAAAAUAAAUAUGUAAAAUCGUUAUGUAGAUAUCGAUAUUUCUCAUCCCUUUCUGAAAUUGUUGAUGCUGGAGGGAUUUAACUCGCUUAUUUUUUAAGCUUUUUCUAUUAUACAUGAGCUUAAUUUUGAAUUAUUUGCAAUAAUUUCUUGAGUAGCAAUAUUUUAAGUUUUUUAAAACAUUUUAAUACAAUAAAAUGUACAUGGUAAAAAAAAUGACAGUAUAUAAUAUUAAAAUAUUAUUUAUAGAUUAAAUUGCUUAGAAUAAUAAUAAAUAAUGAACUGAAGAAUUCAUAAUUUUUAACUUCUUAACAUUUUAUUUUUUUUUAUAAAUUUACUAAAAAGUUUUUUUUAUGAAAUCAAUUGUUUUUUAUUCAUAAUAUGUAUGAUUACAAAUACAACUUUUUUGUUUUCUAACUAUUCUUAUCAGUGCAAAGCAUAUUACAUUUAAAAUAUUUUUUUAAAAUAUAUAUUUUUUAUCAAUGAAAAUAGUAAAAUUAUAAAAUACCUUUUUAUAUUUUUUCUUAAAAUCAAACUAUAAUAUAAACUCUAACACAACUUAAUAUAAAGACCAACCCAUAAAAUUCAGCCUAAUUCGAAGAAGAUCCAAUCCAACCCGAAAGCGCCCAAAAGUUAACAGAACGUGCAAGGCAUUUACUGUCCACAUCCACCGCCAUCGUCUAAAUUCACCACCGCCCAUUGUACUGAUCCCAAAUAUCGAUCGACGAUAACAAAGCGAAUUGCCUCCAGCCUCUCACUGCAUUGCCCACCAUGAAGCAUCCAAAUCGAAAAACAGCAGAGAGCGAAAUAAGCGAACAACAAAACUAAAAAGACAGCGAUGUAAAAUACAUGACCGAAUAUACAAAGCUCGACACUCUCUGUCUUUAGCUUUAAACGUUUCUCGCCUUUUCACCUCCGCCUUCUAUUAGCCACUGGAUUUUGCUUAGUUCUGUGUCUUCCUCCCCAUGCCGAAAGAAAGCUUGUUUCUACAAAUACAACCUUAAGUAAAAUGUAUGUUAGAAACAAUGGGAUUAACAAGUGGACCAUUCAUUUUUUAAUUAUGUAUAAUUAUAUUUAAUUUUUAAAAUGAAUAAUAAUUUUAUCAUUUAAAUUAAUUUUAAAGCCAGCUAAAAAAGUCUCUUAAAAUUUAAGCUAUACAAAAAUGAAAUAAGAAUAAAUUUUUAGCAUAACGAUUGAUAUAUAAAUAUGUUACUAUUAAAAACCUUUAAAUUGAUUAGUUAGAUUAUUUCAUUUUUGAAUUCAAAAUUUCUUCUAUAUUUCUUUUUAUGAAAAUUUAAUAAACAAAAAGUUUACCUAUAAUAUAAUGCAUGCAUUGUAAUUAUCUAUCUAUAUAAAAUUUAUGAACUUGGUAUACAUAAUAGAGAAGUUAAGAAGAAUAAUGAAAUCUAAAAAAACAUUCAUGAUAAUUUAAAAUUAUUAUAAUGAAAAGCUAAAUUGAAUUAAUUAUCGAGAAUUUAUUUAUUUUAAUUUUAUUUUAAAUUAUAUUUAGGGCAUUAUAAAAUUUUAAAAUUCUUAGCCUCUUUAUUCUUAAACUCUACUUUUAUUAUAACCAUAAAUAAUAUUCUACAAGAGUAAUUAAAAUUGUAACACCCCGGAAACCGGUACCUCUUGGCUGGUGUGAUCCUAGCUUCAAAACAUGGAGAAACCAAGCUCCUCAAGCUUCAAGCUCCACAACUUCCUCUUUUUACUCAAAACCUUCAAACCCAAGUGAAAACUCAUGAAAACCUUGCAAUAUUGGAGGAAAACAUCAUGAAAACAUCCAAGGAGAACCUAAACCCCACCUUGACCACAAAGAGAGCUUCCAGCACCCUCCAUGGCCAGUCAACGGGGCUUAAAUAGGUGGCCAACCGCCCUUCCUUCGGCUGCCGAAACUGCAUGCAAAACCAUGCAACGUUCGGCGGCCUAACGUGAAGUUUCGGAAGCCGAACCUAUAGCACUUUCGGCGGCCGAAUAUUACCUUCGGCGGCCGAACCUGCAUUCUGCCUCCUUGGUCUUUUCUCUUCAAAACUCAUUCCCUUUCCUUUCAAAACCACAAAACACUUAAAACCAUUUUAGAAAACCUUGCUAAAACCUUGUAAAACCAUCAGUGUCUCGUGCAAUGCCCCGCAAAACGAAUCCGACAUCCGAGAUUCCACCUGACGGGAGGAAUUCCGAUGCCUGACCGAGCCGGGUAUUACAAUCUACCCCCCUUAUAACAACAUUCGUCCCCGAAUGUUCAAAACAAAACAAACAUAGAACAGGCAAGUAAAGCCUAACACUUCUCUUCACAAAGAGAAUUUCCGAAACUUUACUUUCCUGAUCUGAGUCCAUACUCCAGAAUGAGUAUCCUACUCUUUUUCUGAACUCCACAGCUUUCCCUGCGCUACGCUGAUUCUUACUCUUCACUUUUCAUCUUAACUAAACUAAUCUCUUUGUGAAACUCUCACUCUUUACUUCGCAAUAGAGACCAAUCUGUACUCCUAAUUCCAAUUUGUACUCCUAAUUCUUACCCGCCUUNNNNNNNNNNNNNNNNNNNNNNNNNNNNNNNNNNNNNNNNNNNNNNNNNNNNNNNNNNNNNNNNNNNNNNNNNNNNNNNNNNNNNNNNNNNNNNNNNNNNNNNNNNNNNNNNNNNNNNNNNNNNNNNNNNNNNNNNNNNNNNNNNNNNNNNNNNNNNNNNNNNNNNNNNNNNNNNNNNNNNNNNNNNNNNNNNNNNNNNNNNNNNNNNNNNNNNNNNNNNNNNNNNNNNNNNNNNNNNNNNNNNNNNNNNNNNNNNNNNNNNNNNNNNNNNNNNNNNNNNNNNNNNNNNNNNNNNNNNNNNNNNNNNNNNNNNNNNNNNNNNNNNNNNNNNNNNNNNNNNNNNNNNNNNNNNNNNNNNNNNNNNNNNNNNNNNNNNNNNNNNNNNNNNNNNNNNNNNNNNNNNNNNNNNNNNNNNNNNNNNNNNNNNNNNNNNNNNNNNNNNNNNNNNNNNNNNNNNNNNNNNNNNNNNNNNNNNNNNNNNNNNNNNNNNNNNNNNNNNNNNNNNNNNNNNNNNNNNNNNNNNNNNNNNNNNNNNNNNNNNNNNNNNNNNNNNNNNNNNNNNNNNNNNNNNNNNNNNNNNNNNNNNNNNNNNNNNNNNNNNNNNNNNNNNNNNNNNNNNNNNNNNNNNNNNNNNNNNNNNNNNNNNNNNNNNNNNNNNNNNNNNNNNNNNNNNNNNNNNNNNNNNNNNNNNNNNNNNNNNNNNNNNNNNNNNNNNNNNNNNNNNNNNNNNNNNNNNNNNNNNNNNNNNNNNNNNNNNNNNNNNNNNNNNNNNNNNNNNNNNNNNNNNNNNNNNNNNNNNNNNNNNNNNNNNNNNNNNNNNNNNNNNNNNNNNNNNNNNNNNNNNNNNNNNNNNNNNNNNNNNNNNNNNNNNNNNNNNNNNNNNNNNNNNNNNNNNNNNNNNNNNNNNNNNNNNNNNNNNNNNNNNNNNNNNNNNNNNNNNNNNNNNNNNNNNNNNNNNNNNNNNNNNNNNNNNNNNNNNNNNNNNNNNNNNNNNNNNNNNNNNNNNNNNNNNNNNNNNNNNNNNNNNNNNNNNNNNNNNNNNNNNNNNNNNNNNNNNNNNNNNNNNNNNNNNNNNNNNNNNNNNNNNNNNNNNNNNNNNNNNNNNNNNNNNNNNNNNNNNNNNNNNNNNNNNNNNNNNNNNNNNNNNNNNNNNNNNNNNNNNNNNNNNNNNNNNNNNNNNNNNNNNNNNNNNNNNNNNNNNNNNNNNNNNNNNNNNNNNNNNNNNNNNNNNNNNNNNNNNNNNNNNNNNNNNNNNNNNNNNNNNNNNNNNNNNNNNNNNNNNNNNNNNNNNNNNNNNNNNNNNNNNNNNNNNNNNNNNNNNNNNNNNNNNNNNNNNNNNNNNNNNNNNNNNNNNNNNNNNNNNNNNNNNNNNNNNNNNNNNNNNNNNNNNNNNNNNNNNNNNNNNNNNNNNNNNNNNNNNNNNNNNNNNNNNNNNNNNNNNNNNNNNNNNNNNNNNNNNNNNNNNNNNNNNNNNNNNNNNNNNNNNNNNNNNNNNNNNNNNNNNNNNNNNNNNNNNNNNNNNNNNNNNNNNNNNNNNNNNNNNNNNNNNNNNNNNNNNNNNNNNNNNNNNNNNNNNNNNNNNNNNNNNNNNNNNNNNNNNNNNNNNNNNNNNNNNNNNNNNNNNNNNNNNNGUUCCCUCCUCCUCCACCUCCUCUUACAACUAAAGAAUCAACUCCUACUUAGCUCGAGUCGGGGCGCCUCUGUAGCGAUCCCUGUCACUGUCAAGACAACACCUGAGAAUGCUGGGGUCAAAUCCCCAUGGUCUCGGAGCAUCCAACACCUGGCACUAAUCCAGAUGGCCUCUCUUCUUAAGAACCCUACUUGUCAGUCCUCAUAGCCAAGAAUGCUUUGAGGUUUAGGGAUCGUAAUCGCUUGAACGAGGUUGAGAUGGAUGACCUCUUCGACAACAUGAUGCACUUUGCCAUGGAGAGUGUCAUUUGCGCAUACAUGGCCAAGGAGAGAAACAAGGCUCUGAGGUGAGAGUUCAGAGCACAGGAGAUGGACAAAGGUCUUUUGUAAUGAGAGUACUUGAGGCUGAAGGCCCGGGUCGAUGAAGUGAAAGGCACUAUGAAAGAGACAUCGAAGUCUGUGGACAAGCUCUAGGCAAACCUAGACGAGGCUAUCGCUUCAAAGCUUGCCCUUGAGAGUCAGGGUAGAAAUGUGGAGGAUCAAGUGGAUAUUCUCCAGCAGAAAUUUCAGGAGUUGCAGUCUCAGGCUGAGGAGAACCAGGCCGCCUCCAUCAAGAUCGCUGAACUAGAAGCAGAACUUCAAAAGACGGUGAUCCGAGGAGGAGAGAUGUUCAUCGAGGGUUAAGACUCAAUCAAGAAAGAGCUGGUGAAGCGGUUUUUUCUAAGGACUUUACUUGGAUAGAUGACAUCUUCCCAAAGUAGGAGGGAGAGGAGGAGCAAGAGGAGGAGAUGAUUUAAAAUAUAGACUGAGUCUUUGUAGAAAAUGUAAUAGACGUAGAAAAUGUAAAUGUAAUAGAGACUCGAGAGAUGAUUUAAAAUAUAGACUGAGUCUCCGCAGAAAAUGUAAUAGACGUAGAAAAUGUAAAUGUAAUAGAGACUCGAGAGAAGAAAACUGAAAAUAUCCCUCCUCUCAUGUAAUCUUUUGUGAUAUAAUAAAAAUAUUUUCUUUUGUAUCUUGUCAUUAUUUUUACUAAGUAUUUAUAUGCUUUGUACUCAGCUAUAACCCUCAUCCAACCAUUAUCAAAUAAGGCUUAAAAUAUUUUCUAAAAAAUUUUCACUUGGAGCUAACACCUAACUAAAUAACUGGCAGCCUUUUUCUUUUGGCAUAAAAUGACUUAAAACAGAUUUAUUAACGGAACUUAAUACUCAAUCAUCGGCCUAGCAGAUGUCCGCUUCAUGGCUAUGAAAUAAAUUACUUAGAAAAAUUAUUUAUAAAAAAUGGACACUAAGUGAUUAGUCUGGCCGAUACCCAUAUUGUGGUAUGGACAUAAAAUACCUUAGAAUUUUGUAUAAAAAUGGGACUAACACCUGGUCAUGAGUCUGGCGAAUACCCGUCUUGUAGUCUGGACAUAAAAUACCUUAGAAAUUUGUAUAAAAAUGAUAUUAAACACCCGGUUGUGAGCCUGAUAGAUACCCGCCUUGUGGCCUGGACAUAAAAUGCCUUAGAAAUUUUGAAAAAAAAAGGACUAACAACCAGUCGUGAGUCUGGCGGAUAUCUAUCUUGUGGCUUAGGCAUAAAAUACCUCAGAAAUUUGUAUAAAAAUGGGACUAACACUCGGUCAUAAGCAUGGAAGAUAUUCGUCUUGUGGCUUUGUUUGCAAAAACACGAUAAUGAAUGAAUUUUUACUUUUGGAGAAGGCAAUCUACCAUUCCUUGUAACUGAAUAACACAACAUAUAAACGAAUACCUCACUAAGUGUUAUUAAUAAAAUUUUCUUAUAUUACAAAUAUUCUAGGAAUAGGGAAUGACUCGGUCAUCUAACUUGGUCAAUUUAUAAGACCCCGGGUGAAUAAUAUUCAAGACCCUAAAUGGUCAUUUCUAGUUUUUGUCCAAUUUACCAGACCUAGCACUACCUCCUGUUAUAUUAGUUUUUUAAGGACUAAAUCCCCUACAAUAAAGGCAUGGGCUUGACUUUACUAUUGAACAUUCUAGACAUCUUGUUCCUAUAAAUCGCUAUUUUGAUUGCAGCUAGUUUCCAUAAAAAUUUGGCUUGAUCCAAGUUGAACUGCAUUUCUUCAGGGUUUCCUAUAAUUUUAUGGUGCUGUGUCCUAAAACUGCUUACCUGGACUUUCAUGAGAAUUACUGCCUCAACCCUGUAUACAAGAGAAAAAGGAGUUUCCUCUGUGGCUAUUCUCAAAGUCGUCUGUAUGCUUAUAGUAUGUGGGGCAAUUCGUUAGGCCAAUUGCCUUUGGCUUUGUCUAGUCUUUUCUUUAGAACUUGUAGGAUAGUCCUGUUUGUAAUCUCGGUCAUUCCAUUGGUCUAUGGGUGAUAGGCCGAACUGAAUCUUAAGUCAAUCUCCCAUUUCAUAUAGAAAUCUUUAAACUUAGAACUCGCAAACUGAGUCCCGUUGUCCAUGAUUAUUACCUUUGGGAUUCUACACCGAGUGAAUAUGUUUUUGCUGACAACGAAAAUCGUCUGUUGGGUAGUAAUGGACUAAAUUGCUUCAGGCUCAGCCUACUUGUUGAAAUGAUCUACCGCUACUAUUACAAAUUUUCUUAAUCCGGUUACUUUUGAAAAAGGGCCAAGAACAUUUAGCCCCAUCCAAUCAUUGUUUGCAUCUCUCCAAGGGUCCUUGGAAUGCUUGCAUGCACUUAAUAUCGGCAACACCUCUGGACAAGUUCUUUUGCAUCUUGCAUUCAUUGGCCAGUAGUAUCCAUGAUUGAAUGCUUUCUAGGUGAUCAUCCAAGCCCCUUCAUGACGUUCACAAUCACCUUCAUGGAUUUCUUUAAGGAUUUCCCGGCCCUCAUCUUCCGUUACGCACCGUAACCAUGGUUGAGUUGAGCAUCUCCUGUACAAAAAACCGUUUGUUAGUACAUAUUUAGAGAACUUUCUUAUUAUCUUUUUAGCUGAUAAUUUAUCAAUCGGUAGUUCAUCCUCUAUCAGAAACUUAUACAUGAGUAUCAUCUGGGAUUCUCCUUCCUAUAUGGGGAAAGACUCUUCCUCAUCUAUUGCAGGAGUGUGUAGCUCUUCGAAUUAAAAGGGCUGGGUCAAGUGUUAUUCACCUGUUGCCGCCAUUUUGGCUAGGAAAUUAGCUUCUUCGUUGUCAUCUCUAGCCACCUGGUGAAACUUGCAAUUACCCUAUUCCUCGUCAUUAAGGAGCGAACCUUCUCUUCGUACUUGACAAGGCUUAGUUCUCAGAUUUUAAACUGUUCAUGUCACUUCUUAUAUUGGCACUGAAAAUGGUCAUAUAGAAAGUGUCUAUGUUUACCUUACUGUACAACCUUUGGGUUUUCUCUCUUCUUAGCCCUUGUUUGCACUAUCCCACCAUUUUCUGAGAUUAACAACUAAUUGUGAGUCACUAAAAAUAAUAGAUUACUGUAUACCUAUUUUCGUAAUAAUUUUUAGUGCCAUAAUCACAGCCUCAUACUCAGGUACGUUGUUGUAGUGUUGAAAGCUAAUUUUGCCACAUAGCGCAGCUUUAUCCCAGUUUGACUCUACAAGAGUUUCCAAUUCUGGAACCCCCAGCUCCGCAUGCACCAUGCACCCAAACCUUCCAUUCUUCAAUAGGUGAUUCUAAAGUCUCCAAUGGCGGAGUUAUCUCUGCAACAAAGUCGGCUACUACCUUGGCUUUCAUUGCUUUUUGUGGGACAUAUCUAAUAUCAAACGCUGAUAAUAUUACUGCUCAGGUGGACAGCCGCCCUAAUAUCUCCGGCCUAUGUAGUACCUUUCGUAAGGGAUAAUUUAUUCUGACCUCUAUGGUAUGUGACUCAAAAUAGGGAUGUAACUUCGUGGCAGACAUUAGGCUACAAAUGCUAAUUUCUCAAUGGGGGGAUAGUUCAACUCUGCCCACUUCAAGACUUAGCUACCGUAAUAGAUUGGGUUUCGCUCCCCUUUGUCCUCUCGAACGAGCACCAAACUUAUAGUCUCCUGCAUCACAGAUAGAUACAAAAAUAAAAUCUCAUUUUCGACAAACGAGCUCAGUAAAGGGGGAGAUGAUAAAAAAAGUUUUUAAGUUUUCAAAUGCCUCUACACACUCUUCCUCUUAAACAAAUUUAUUUUUGCCAUUUAAGGCUUUAAAGAAUGGUAGAUAUUUCUUGGCCGAGCAUGAUAUAAACUGGCCAAGAGCUGUGACCCGCCCAUUCAACUUCUGUAUAUCAUUUAUAGUUUUAGGUGCCUCCAUAUUUUAGAUGACAUUAAUUUUUUUUUGGGUUUGCCUCUAUGCCUCUUUUUAAGACUAUGUACCCUAAAAACUUUCUAGCUUUUACCCAAUGGUGCAUUUUUUAGGGUUAAGUUUCAUAUUUGUCUUAUCCAGUACGUCAAAAACUUUUUGGAUAUCAUCUGGAUGAUCUUUUAAGGAUCAACUCUUUACUACCAUAUCAUCUACAUACACAUCGACUGUAGACCCCACCAUGUCUUUAAAGAUGCUCGACACUAGCCUUUGGUAAGUCGCCUCUGUGUUUUUUGGCCCAAAUGACAUCACCUUAUAACAGAAGACUCCUGCAUCGAUGAUAAACACAGUCUUUUUUGCAUCUUUAACAUCCAUCAUGAUUUGGUGGUAACCUGAAAUAGUAUCCAGAAAGAAAACCACUGCAUGACCCAAGGUAGAGUAUACUAACUUAUUAAUAGGCAUGCUUUGUUCAAGUCAGUAAAGUCCACGCACAUCCUCCACUUCCCAUUUUCCUUCUUAACCAGUAUUACAUUGGCGAGCCAUGUAGGAUACUGUACGUCUUUUAUUAAUCUUGUACUUAAUAAUUUAUUAACCUCCUCCUUAAUCACCUGCUGCCUCUCUAAUACAAAUUUUCUUUUCUUCUGUUGUACAUGUUUUAUUGUCUUGUCGAUAGAUAGCUUAUGGAUGAGAAGUGUCGAGUCCACACCUGUUACAUCUUCUAGAGACCAAGCAAAAGUGGUCACUUUAUGUUUUAGUAAUUCUAUUAAUUGAUUCUUUAUUUCACCAUUUAACGCAGUUUCAAAUCGUACCUUUUUAUGUAUAUCUAACUGGACCUCUUCCACCGGGUCUGCUGGUUCUGGUUUUAUGUAGGAGUCUAGUUUUUUCAACAGGUCGAUGGGCAUGGUUGCUUUUCUGAGACUUUUUGUGGAAGGCCUGUAGCAUUCUUGGGUUGACUUAUGGUUGCCUCGGACAACAGCUAAUCCUCCUGGAACUGGUAACUUAGGAUUCUUGGCACUCAUGUUAAUAACUAGACCGUGACAGUUUAAGACUGAGCGACUGAUUAUCAUACUGUAAGCAUGUGAGAUGCCUACUACUGCAAACUCCGCAUACAACUCCUACUUGUGCUUCUCAUCAUCCAGCACAAGAGGGAGGUUAAUGGUCCCAAUACUGCAAUGGUCUUAUCUCCUAAUCCCACUAAUGGGUAGGAGAUUUUAAUAAGGUUAUUUUUUUAUCUAAACUUAACUUAUUAAAGACAUCCCAGGUGAGGAUAUUGACGAAACUACCUGUAUCAACCAAGACUCGUCGCACCUCAUACCUAUUCAAUUAGAUGCUGAUGACCAGCGGGUCAUUUUGGGAGAAUCCUAUCGCCUUGUUUGCAGGUCUAAACUUUACCUCCUAUUUAGCCUAUGGUUCCUGCUCAACUGACAGAACAUCUUCUGCAAUGCGUUUGUUCUUUCCCUUGCCAUUGCUGGGUCCUCUUGCCAUCGCAGGGUCCUCCUUCAAUCACAUGUAUAACUCCUACAUAUUCACUAUCAAGGGUGGUUUCAGGAGUUGUUACCUCAGGUUUGGGCCUCUUCUCUUCUCUAUUCUUUCUAGUAAACUUUUAAAAUGUGUUGUUCUUUAUUAAUCUCUCGAUUUUCGUCUUUCAACUGCCGGCACUCCUGCAUUAUAUGUCUAUAAUUUUUAUGAAAAUGACAGUUCUUAUUCCUAUCUUGUCUUUCAACUUUCUCAGGGUUGAGCUUGGGAGGCCAUUUGACUUCUUUAUCAUUUUUCCUGAUCCACAUUGAAAUAUGUGUUCGUGUGGAGCAUAAUUCUUAUACUUACCUCGGUCGUCCCUUCCUCGGGAUACUGAGAAAUUUCUACGGUCUCCUUCAUAUCCUCACCUCUUGAUUUUUGAUUUUACUUUUGACUUGUCCUCUUGUCUUUCAGCGCUUGGACUUCAUCAUCUAGCCUUAUGUACUUCUGGGCUUUGUCCAUUAGCUAUUGACAAACAAUGACUGAAUUUUUUAUUAGAGAAUCUAUAAACUUGAUGUUGUGUGUUCUCCUUUUUUUAAUGCUUUACAUGCUAUCUCAUGAUUUAAUUCUUCCACUUAUAUUGCUUCAGCAUUGAAACGUGAGAUAAAGCUCCUUAAAGUCUCGCCCUCUCCUUGAUGGUUCUUCUGCAAGUCAAAAGAGAGUUUUUAGGAGGUAUGCAAGUAAUAAACUUAGAUUUAAACAACAUAACAAAUUGUGUAAAGCUUUAAAUUGAACCUGACUUUAGAUGUUGGUACCAUUUCUGAGUUAAACUUAUGUGUGUGGACAGAAACACUCGACAAUACAAAAUCAUUGACAUCUUGAAGCUGCAUGGUUGUUCUAAAGAUUGCCAGGUGACUUCUAGGAUCUGCUAUUCCGUCCUAUGUAUCCAAACUUGGGAGUUUAAACUUGCUAGGAAAAGUCUCUGCUAGGAUCUCUUCUGCAAGAGCAAGGCAUCAUCCAAGCCAUAGUCAUCUUUCUGCUCCUUUUGAUACCUUUGCACAACUCGUAUCAGUUUCCAGUCGACGUCUUUCAAGAUUUUGUUCAAUGACUCCUCUUCCUUCAGCUUGGCAUUCCCUUUGGUCUGUGUCUGGAUCGUUUCUAUUCGAGUCCUUGGGGUAUCAAUGGAGGCCUUCUAUCUUAUCUUGGGAGCCACUCCGAUGCUCAAGUCAGUAAACUGAAGAAAAAGACGAGUGUAAUGAAUUGCUUAGAACUCAAGAGGAGUUGUGUCAGAAUCCGUACCUUGAUCUCUGUGUUCAGCAGCCUUUAUACUAUAAGAAGGUAGAAUCAGUUAUCAAAUCUCCUAGAAAUCUGACUGACAUUGGCUAAUGGAUAUGGGAUCCCGCGAUUAUAGGUGUAAUGAAAAUAUGUUAGAUUGUGUUCUCUAACGAUAACUUUCUGUGAAGCCUUACCCUGCUGAAGAGAGGACAAAUUUCAGUGAAAAACCGAGAACUAUAGCAUUCAGAUUUUCUUUUUCACAGAUAAGACUGUGUAUUAUCUAAUCAGACUCUUGUUACGCAACCCUAUUUUAUAAUAACAGCUUAUAACUUACUUUUAGCGUUAAAUCAAUAAUCAAUUUAUUAUUAUUGAAAAUAAUAAAGUAUAAAAAUUUAAUUUAUUUUAUUAAUAUAUUAUUUUAACUAAUUAAUUGAUAAUAUGAUAAAAUAUAUCACCAUAAUUAAUAAAAAUAAUAGGCCAAAUAUAUAUUUAUAUUUAGCCUAUUAAACUCUUCAAUAAAAUUAUAAUCUAUUAAAUAUUUAAAUUUAUAAAAAUUAUAACAAUUAAAUAUAAAUAAUCAUAUUAUCAAAUAUUUAUAAAAAAGAGUUAGAUUAUUGCUAGCUGUAUUUAAUUUUUAAUAUAAUUUAAAAUAUUUUUUUUAUUUAUUAGCAAUAAUAAAAAUAUAUUACAUACAAUAAUCUCGAUUAUAUAUCAUAGUUGCUUGUAAUUUUAUUAAAACACUAAAUGCAAUCAAGGCAACUAAAGCAGUACAACUAGCAAACUACAAUCAAGGCAAUAGAACUAGCCAACUUUUUACUAGAUUUCUGCUUGGGGUUUAGCCAUUCUCUGUGAGACACGGCCUUACGUAUAUUUCUUUGAAUCCAAUAGAAAAAAGAAAAUUUAAACUAUAAUUCUAAAUCGGUUAAGAAGGUAAAGUUUGUCAUAUAGUAGGUUAAAAAUAUAAAAUAACAUAUUUUAGUUUAAAGUUUACAUUUCAACUAAAGAGUAUGAGUUACAUACUUUAGUGUAUUUGACUUUAUUUAAUUUUUUAAUAAAAUUUAAAAAAAAUUAUAAUUUAUAUUUUUACUUUUAAUAUAUAUUUCAGUGGCAAAUUUAACUUUUUAUCAAUUAUAAUCCAUAGCUCUAACACUAGUCUUAAAAUCUCAUACAUAACCUUAACACCUCACACCUACCUCUAACACCUCACACUUAACCGAAAAUACUAACUCCUAAUCCUAACGUCAAACCAAUAAUAUUUAAACCCUAACCUCUAAAACCAAACUUCUAAGCCCUAAAACUAAACUUUGAACUCUUAAUUCUUACCUAAAACCUAAUCUUAAAUCUAAACAUUAACAUCUAACUCUAAAAACCUAAACCCAAUCACUACCUGUAACUCCAAACUGUAACUUCAAACUUUUAAUGUCUAAUCUUGUAAUCUUUACUAUAAAACUAUCAUAAUUUUUGAAGAAAAUUAAUCUCAUAUCAAAAGUAUAUUGAAAUUGGAUAUCGAAUAUAAUAGUUGAUUGAAAAUUAUUAAAUAAUUUAAAUUAAUUAUUUUGAAUUAAGUAAAAAAUAAUCAAAAAAACUAUUUGAGUCAGUUUGAACUGAAUUGUUACACUUAACUCCAAACUCCUAACUAUUAAUCCCCAAUCUCUAAUACAUACAACUUAAUCCUAAAUUUAAAUCUUAAUAUCUAAUCCCUAAACCUAUUUCAACUCCCUAACUCUAAAUCCAAAACCCAAAAUCCCUAACCUGAAUGCUAAUACCAAUGUCUAACCACUAACCUCUAACUCCUGAUAGCUAACCAAUUACCCCUAAAUCCUAACUUUCAAUACAUAAUACCUAAUUCCUAUUCCUAAUCCCUAACUCCAAACAUUAAUCCAAAACCCUAACAAAAAUGAUUAACAUUUGACUCUUCAUGCAUACAACUGGUUCUUAUCCUUAACUCUUAAUCCCUAAUCCAAACCUUUAAACCUAAUAUUAAAUUUAAACUUUAACAUCUAAGCCCUAAAACAAACCCUAGCCCUUAGCACUAACCUCUAAACCAAACAAAAAGUCAUUAACCCAGAACUCCUAACCCUUUAAACUAAACUCCAAACCAUUAUCCCUUAACCUUAAAACCGUAUAAUCCAUAAACCUACCAAAUCCUUAACUCUAACACCCAACUCGUGACCUCUAACUAUUGGCCCUUAAUCCUUAAGGCCGUAACAACUAACCUCUAAUCCUUAUUUGCUAAUCUCUAACAUAUGUUUUAAGGGUUAAGGGCUAUAUGGUUUUAGGAUUAGGGGAUAGUGAUAUGGAGUUUGGUUUUAGGGGUGAGGGAUUAGUUAUUAGUGCCAAAAGGUUAAUGAUUAAAGAUUAUGGUUUAGGAGUUAGGGGUUCGUUAGAGAUAGGGGUUAGGGGUUAGAAUUUACAGGUUAAGUUUCAUGGUCAAGGGUUGGGUUUAAUGGUUAAGGAUUAGUUGUUAGGGUUUGUGGUUAUGGGUUAGAGGUUAGCCGUUGGGAAUUAGCGGUUUUGAAUUUGAGUUUAUAUGGUUUUAGGGUUUUGAAUUAAUAGUUUGGUGUUUGGUUUUACGAGUUAAGGGUUAGGUAUUGAGUGUUAAGAGUUAAUGGCUAAGGUUAGAAGUUAGAGAUAACAAUUAAAGUUUUUUGCCAAAAUCACAAGACGGAUACGUUAUCAAAAUUAUCUAAGGUAUUUGUGUCAAAGUUGGGAGGCAAGUAUCUAGUAGAUCGAUGAUCAGAUUUUAGUCUCGUUAAUUAAAAUUUUAAAUUAUUUUUAUGUCAAAGUUAUAAGACGUGUAACUGCCAGAUUCCUGACCGGCAGUCUCAUUAACAAAAUUAUCUAAGGCAUUUUGUGCCAAAGUCACAAAGGCAGGUAUCCGUCUGGCCAAUAACUAGGUGUUAGUCCCAUUAAUUAAAUUUCUAAAGUAUUUUUAUGCCAAAGUCACAAGACGAGGAACAACUAGAUUUUUGAUUGUGUGUUAGUCUCAUUAACAAAAUUAUCUAAGGCAUUUUGUGCCAAAACCACAAGAUAGGUAUCUGCAGGCUCCUGACUGGGUAUUUGUCCCGUUAACAAAAUUAUUCAAGACAUUUUAUAUUGAUGCCAUAAGACGGGUAACCGCUAGACACUUGAUCGGGCGUUAGUCCCAUUAAUAAAAUUAUUCAAGGUAUUUUAUGUCGGCAAAGCGGGUAACCGCCAAGUGAGUCACAAGGUGGAUAACCGCCAAAUACUUGACCGGGCCCUAGUCUCAUUAAUAAAAUUAUCUAAGACAUUUUAUAUUAACGCCAUAAGGCGGAUAACUGCUAGGCGAGCCAUAAGGCGAGUAACCGUCAAGUGAGCCACAAGAUGUUAGUUCUUGUAAUACCCGGCUAGAGUCCGGCAUCGGAAUUCUGCUUUCCGGUGGGAUCCGGGAUGUCGAAAGUCUCUCGAAGGGUUAGAUUUAUGUUUUUCUCAAAUGUUUUGAUAUGUUCAUCACGUUUUAUGCAUAAAGAAAUGAGUUUUUGAGUGAAAUGAACCAAUGCAGAAAAGUCAGGUUCGACCGCCGAAGUUGAGGUUCGGCCGCCGAACAUGCAUGGCUUUCGGUUUCACGUGUGGCCGCCGAAGGUGGUUUGGCCAGCUACCUAUAAAUGGCCCUCAGUCGGUUGAAGCGGUAAGAGCACCGUUUCUUUCACGUGCUGAGGUGAAACUCUGUCCUUUGUGAGUCUUUCUUCAUGUUUUCCUUAAAUCAUGCAAAGAUUUGAUUAGUUUUCAUGAUUAUUUGAAGGUUUUAAGCUAAACACUCAAAGUUUUGAAGUUUGGCGAGUUUGAAGGCAAGUUGCUCUAAAACUCCACGUUAGGAUCCUUCAUCUACUUGUUUUCACGAGGUAAGUGAAGAUCCUGAGCUUGUUUUUAUGUUUUCUGAAGGUUUUAUGGGGUUUGAUGGAGAGAGUUGCAUGAAUAGGGUUAUUUGAGAGUUUUUGAUGAUUUUAUGUGUACAGCUUGUUUUUGUGUUGUUUGUGUUGUGUGAACAGGUAUGAGUUAACCCAUCUAGAGCAAGCUCUAGUUAGGGGUACAGAGUACAGAGUACAGAGUACAGAGUACAGAGUACAGAGUACAGAGUACAUAGUACAGAGUACAGAGUACAGAGUAAAGAGUACAGAGUACAAAGUACAGAGAUAGUGCAUGCACAGGUUAAGCCUUGGUUCAGAAAAGAGUUUUUAUUUUCACAGAAAAUGUAUGAUCAUGUAUGAGAUUUACAGGUUCACAGAGAGGAUAGCAGGCUUGCUACGGGUUCUGGCGGCCUUAAGCCGACCUGAAUCCUAGCGCCGGUGACGGUCCAUUUUGGGGUCGUUACAGUUCUGUUGACAAAUUUUCUAAGGGCAUUUUAUAUCGAGGCCACGAGGCAGGUAAUCGCCAAGUAUUCGACUGGUUGUUAGUCCCGUUAAUAAUAUUAUUUAAGGGAGGCAAGUAACUGCCAAAUAUUCGAUCAGGUGUUAGUCCAAUUAAUAUAAUUAUCCAAGUUAUUUAAAUUUUAUUUAUCAAAUUGGCAAAUUGAUGUGCAAAAUAAUUGGAGAAGAGUUCUAGUUGUUUUAGAUUGAGUACUGAUCCAAAAUACUUGGUAAAAAUAGAGAUGUGGGUAUGUAGAGCCAAAUCAUGCAUGCCACAUUCCAAAAUUGUAAAGACAACUGUAGCAUUUAAAUCUAAAGAAUCGAAAAACCAGUGAAGGACUCCAUAGAAUAGGACCACAUGUUAAAGGUCUAAUAAGCUGACACAUGGUCGUAGAAGUCUCACCCAUAAAAAGGAAGACACUGUAGCACUCGGGUACUCUAUGAAAACUCGCCCUCUCAAGCGUUCAUGAAAAGUUACCAUUAACAGGAUAUAAUGUUUAUGAAAAGUUACCAUUAACAGAAUAUAAUAUAACAAAUUUACGUCUAUAAACGCAGAAUUCAAUCAGAUUUCUAAGAGAUUCGAUAACUAGUUUCAUCUCAUUACAGUAUAAAAGUAAAUGUGCUUAGAAAUCAAAAUACACAAUCAAGAUAUACACUCUUACGCCUAUUAUCUAUCUUAUACAUCUAUUCUCCCUUAUAAAUUGACCAAUCACAACUCAACUCUAUUUAUCUUAUACAUCUAUUCUCUUUUGCAAAUUGACCAAUCACAAUUGACCAUUGACCAAUCACAACUUAACUUUAUUUAUUUUAUAUAUAUGUUCUCUUUUACAAAUUCCACAACUCAACUCUAUUUUUUAUUUUAAUUUUUCUCUUUUAUUUCAUUUAAAUAUAUAAAACUAAACAAAACUAGCAAUAUUAAAUAUUAUAUAGUUUUGCCAGCCAAUUUGGCAUUGAACAACUUAAAUAUAUACUUAUUAAUCUCAUUCGAAUUUUGCAUUGAUCAACCUAAGAAAUUGUUAAUUUAAUUUAUUUUAAAAUCAAUCAAUUAAAAGUUCCAAAUUUUAUAAAGUUAAAUUCUUUAAUUAAUAGGAGAAACUAAAUAAAAUGAAUAUGUAUUUCAAUUUUUAAUUUCAGUUUGGCCCAAUUUAAAAUUGACCGUACCAAUUGCAUGUCUAAUGAUAGAAUCUACCUCGAGCAAAUUGCAGCAGCAACGAAUAUACUGCUUAUUUCUUCCCACUUUAAAUAACAAGGAAUUCUACAAAAAGAUGAGUCAAGUAUUUGCGGGGAAAAAGAAAAAAAAAAGAAAAAAAGAGAAAAAGGGGGUAACAAAUCUACCUUUCUCCAUCAUUCCUUUCUAAGAAAAACAUUCAGCCUAAUUAGAACAAUUAUAGUACACUCGCCACCAAGGAUGGCAUUAAACAGAUACAAGAGAAUAAAAUCAAAGAAUCACCAAAUUAAGCCACUGACUAGCACACAUCGGUAAUCCUAUACUCUUCAGGGAAUAGUUAGCUGCUGAUGAUGUAGGCAGCGGUGGCCAACGAAUUUCACUUGCUUCUUUGUAGGGAAAUUAGCCGUGUAGACAUUAAUGAAAAAAUUGUUCCCUAACAAGCGUGAUCAUAAACCAUUAUGCUGUACUAUUGUAAGUCUAUCCCUUCUGAACACCUAAGCCUGCCACUUUUCCUGCAGUGCUUAAUUUCAAGCAGUGCUGAUGGAGCAGCAGAGAAACAUAUUGUCUACCCUCCUCUUUAUCUGGAAGCCUUACCUCCAAAACAACCAUAUUAAUAUGUACAAAAUGGUUACCCAGAGUUGCCAGCAACCUCUGCAGCUCUCUGUCUCAUCAUCUCCAUCACAGCAGCCCUUCGCCGUGAAUCAGACUGCUGCUGCAGCCUUCUCAAAUGUUCUUUUAGAUCUCUGGAUGAACACGAACGUUCGUCAAUAGUUUAUAAACACAAUUCCCAAAAACAAGGGGGUCAGGGUGUGGUCUAAAACAUUUGUUGAUUUAAUAUGUGAGAAUGAAUCAUGAACCUGCAACGUGGUACGUGGCAUUCUGAUUCUUUGCAUGCCCGAGCAUGAAGUUGCAGGAGAUACCACAUUUUCUUGCACAGAACACAACCUCCAGAAGCACGUGUCUUGCAUUGAAUCCCAUGUCGGAAAAGUCCCUUCACCUUACGACAAUUUGGAUAUUGGCAAUGUGGAGAACGGCACUGUGAUGCAUGCACCAGAAGAUCAAGCAUUUUCCUAAGCUGCAAUUUGAUUAGGCCACAUGUAAGAGGAUAAUUUUUGGAAAAAUAUGACUAGUCAUAUAAAAUGUUUUAGCAGUUCAAUUUCAAUGUGCUGAACCCAUUAAAUGGAUAGAAGAAAUAUUGUACAAAUUAUUGACAUUCAAAUGAAGUAUUUCAGACACUUGGACAAUUACUUGUUCUUACACAUUAGUGGAAUAAUCAGUUCCAUAAUAUCUUUCCAUAAAAAACUUGCCUAUACAAGGUUGAAUGCUGUAAGCCAAAGAGAAAAUACCACAUCAUGAAUUUGAAUUUUUAAAUUUCAAUCUAAAGAUUGAGAUAAAAAUUGCCUAUUUCCUGAUAUGGUAUUGAGAUAAAAAUUGCCUUUUUCAUGUUAUGGUAUUUUCUUAGGGCGAAUACGUGAAUUUACACACCUAUAACAACAUGGUACCAAAACUUUAAAUUAUAAGAUAAAUCCCCUCCAACUUUAGUUUAGGGGAAACAAAGUCCCCCAUGACUUAUGAUCACAAGUUUACAAUUUUCCUGCUGAAUCGCUGAUGGCGACAUGAAAUUAAAUAAAAAUAAAAGGGUAAAUUAUAUUUUAGUCCCUAAGUUUUAGCAUAAUUAAUGAAUUGAUCUUAUAUUUUUAAAACCAAACACUUAAAUCCCUCUAUAUUUAGUCCAUCUAAAACCAUACACCUUCUAUCCAUUAUGUGGUCAAACUUUUGAAAAAUACAAUUUUCUUCCUAAAAUACCUGUUGUAAAAGUCUACAACCUACAUAAGGCUACUUGGUACUACUUAAAAACGAUUGAAGUUAUAAACCUUUUCUAAAAAUUGAAUGAAAAAACCAUUUCUGACAGUUUUGAAGUUAUUAGGUACUGAAGUAUUUUAAUAAAUGGAAAUUGAACGACAACGGGUUAAAAAUUGAAGGAUUUAAGUUUUUUUCAAUAAAUGGAAAGACUAGAAUUUGGAUGAAUUUAAGUGUUCUGUUUUAAAAAUACAGUGACUAAUUCAUUAAUUACUGUAAUCCACCCAAAUAAAAAUGACCUAAAUACCACCAACUCUAUCUUCCUCAACCUUAUCAAGAUUAAACUUAUGAUUUAAUGUUACAUUUGAGUUUUUGUAUGAUUUUAAGUAGAAUUUUAAAGAAAGUCAUAAGUUAAAUGGGGAUAAUCAUGAGGAUGGACAAAUGGUUAAGGUUUGGGUUUUGACUCUUGAAUUGGAAAUCAAGAUAAACACUAGUAAUUGAAUGGUUCACAAGAAAGGAUUAGGAUGGGAUGGAUGGAAAGAAGAAGAUGAUGACGAUAAUAAAAAUAAAGAAAUGUUGGAACUAUUUAGAAAAGAAAGAGUUGGAUUGGUUUGGAUGAGAAGACGAAGAAAUGGAUGAAGAUUUUUGGAAGAAAAUGUUGUAUUGAGAUGGAUGAGAAGAGAGAAAUAGUUGUGGUUUUGGAGGAAAGUGGAGUGAUGAACUUAGGUGAGAACGAUUAUCAUAGAACAUUUAAGACAUUUCAAAUUUCUUUUUUUUUUUUUGAAAAAAAAUUAAUGCAUCAGAUCAAUUUUAUAACCGAGAAACAAAUUGAUUAUAGGUCAUAAGAAAUUUUAUGUUACUUAAACUAUAAUUGGCAGGUUUUUGUUACAAAAUAAAUUUUAGGUAUCUUAUUGUUCAAACCUUAAGCUUAAAGUUCACGUCCAAUAGAUGUAUUUUACCAUAUUUUCUCAUCAGCAUUUCAUGGGGCAAGGAAGCAUAGAAAAUAUAUGGGAAAAUGCCGUAAUCACAUUGGACAGGAGUAAAAAUUACCUGUAGAACCCUUAGCUGCCUAGCUUCUUUAUUCUGGGCAUCACGAUCAGCCAUUGAUGGAUGAUUUGUCAACUUAUGAGGAUGAUCAAUACCCCCAUCCUUUUGGUAACAAGCAUUGCAUACAUCAUAAUCAGGGCACACUUCACAGCGCCAACCUUGACCCGUUUCAAUGUCAAGAUGACAUAUAUUGCAUGUUGUAACAAAAGCAGGAGCAGUUGGAUUAUGGAGAUGGUAAAGGACCAUCAUUGAAGAAUGCUUAGCCCGGCGUAGAGUAUCAUACUGAUAAUGAUUUCCUUGACAAAGACUAAGAAAUGCUUGUCUCGUGUCAAAGAAUUCACUCUCAAGAAUUUCAUCUUUAUCCUUUGUAUCAGCAGGCACAUCAGUGAUUUCAACCUGCAAAAUUUAACAUUGAUAAUUUUCAGUUAUAAAGGAGAAGGAGGGAAGGAAGGAACAAAAUAGAACAAGAUAAAAGUUUCGAAACAAUAUCUAUUACAGAAGCUUACACGAUAGAGUGCAUGUUUCUCCCUUUGGUUGAUAGGAUGCCGCUCCCUUUCUUCACGCUUCUGUUCAGCCUCGUAACAGCUUCAAGAAAAGCAGCACAUAUCAGAACCAUUAGAUGUGGCUACAAUAAAACAAAUCAAAAUUGCACACCUCAUAUUUUUUAAGACCAACUAUCUAACAUACAAGUACUGAGGAAGAAAUGAAAAGGCCAAAAAAAAAGGGUUAGAGAAAAAGGAUGAGAAUUAUGUAAUUGAAUUGCUAAAAAUAUUUAGGAACAUAGAAGCCAAGAAUAGUGCUCAUUCAAACCAAGGAUGUAGCAUUGAUUAAAAAAGUUAUAGGCAAUGAUUGACAAACCAUUAAUUGCCAUGGGAAACAGAAAAGGAUAAAGGAAAAGGAAAAGGAAAAGGAAAAGGAAAAGGUAAAGGUAAAGGUAAAGGUAAAGGUAAAGGUAAAGUGUUGUUGCCUUGUAUCAAUUGAUAACAUUUGUCAAUAAAAUAACAGAUUUAUGAUAGACAACGGAGAAUCGAGUUUAUUUUUUAAAAGUUUUAUCUAAGAGAACAACAAUGGUUGCAUAAAGUUAAACAACACAGCAGAGGGUGAUGUUGUUGCAUCAUUUUAUGGCUAUCAAGUAUCAGUCAAUGGGUUCACAAAUAUUUUCAUAGCAUAGAAAGUUGGACAACAUAGACAUAGUAUAUCCAUGAAAAAAAUGCAUGUAAAAUGAGACAGGGAAAUGGAUGUAUGAAAAUCAAAUAUUGAGUAUUAAUAAAUAUGAAAAUACAAGACGACAAAAGUUGAAGCCUGUUACAUAUCCAGCCUGCAAUGCCAUUUGAAACAGAGAAAUAGGGAGAGGAAAGGAGAGGAAUAGAUUGGAUUGAGAAAAGAAACAGAAAGGGGAGGAGGUUUAGAGAGGAAAUAGAGAAGAAGAGAUAUUUCUUAUAUUUGAUUCUUGAAUGAAUCUGCCUUGAUACAAGCUACCCUAUUUAUAUGUAUUCUUGUAAAGAAAAAACUAUUCCUGCCACUAUCUAACUAAUUCCCUACAAACUUCAUACUCUUCUUUUAUUACAAUUUCAGCCCUAAAGUCCCUUAUUCAUUUGCAACAUCCAUCAUUCUCCUUAUCAUAACAUUCCCCACUUCUUGAAAUCAUUCUUGAGAAGAGAGAAAAAAACGAUCAGCACACAUUACUAUUAGGAACUCUAAUGAAAUUCAAUGUUCAAAACUACUAUACUGAAACUGGACUUCCUUUCUUCAUAUUUGCCUUUCUUUGCCUUUUCCAUCUUUUUCAAACAUAUCUUCUUUCAGAAUUACAGAUGCAACUCCUGUCAAGAUUACUUUAUGCUUCUUCCUUCUUAAUAUCUCCCAUUUAUCCACCAUGGAGAUUAGGAAUUCACAAGAAUAGAACUCAACGUGAUGGUCUACAAAAUAUUGCCACUUACUAGCAACAUUCCCUGUUUCUUCAAUUGCUUUAGCUUUUUCUUCAUGAGAAACCUUCUCAUGAAUCUCAACAAUGGAAGCAUCCCAUUCCCUAUUAACUUGUACAAAUCCAAAUUUUUUUAAUGGCACCACUAACGCUUUUUCUAAAAUUUCAAUAUAGCCAAGAUUAAGAAUAAUACCAUGGGCUCUUGGAUUUGAAGGUUGCACUAUGUUGUUGAAGUCUUCCAUUUCCCCAUCAAUAACAAGAAACUUACUAGCCCCCAAUUUUUGUUCUAAGCCACCAAUUUUACCCUCUUGAAUUGGUAAGCCCGCUUCACCUCCAUUGCUCCAAAAAGUCCCAGUUUUAUGGACUUUGUGGUGUGCAACUAAAUCAAUAGUAACCCCAGAGCAAUCAUGUUCCUUGCCCUCAUCUGUAAAACCUUCACCAUGCACUUAGCUGGAGGCUUCAUCUUUUGAAACACCUUUAUCUUCAUCUUUCUUUUUUUCAAGAACAUUUCCAAGAGUUUCAGUAGCAAAACAUUCAACUUUGGGAAUGAGUAGUGCAAAAACUUCAGAUCCAACUAAUAUUGUCCUCAUUUCAGACUCUAGUUGGCAGUUGCCCAUCAUCACCAUCUUCAUCAUUCUCCUCCUGACAGACGUCACUUAUAUAGUUAUAUGGGACAUAUCAACAAAAAACUCCUGCUCAUCAACAGAAUUUGCCUCCCUCCUGCUUAAUCUCAGUGUUAACAUUCUCCUCUCCAUCACCAAUAAUGUCAACAUCUUCCUCCUCUCAAUCACCAACAAUGUCAACAUCUUCCUCUUCUCCAUCACCAACAAUAUCAUCAUCUUCCUCUUCUUUAUCACCAAUAAUAUCGAACUCUUCCUUUUCUCCAUCAUCAAACAACUGAGUUUCACCCUUAACACCAAAUUGCCUUAUUUCUCUUUUUUGAGCUGGCAAUCCCAUUUCGUAGCCAUUAUUCCAAGGAUUCUCAGAUUCUUGGUCUUGGAUCUGACAUUCAAUUCUGAUUCAGACCCCUGGAGUUCUGUUUUCACUUGAAUCGACUUCUCAAAAUUUUCCAUUUCCUUUUCCCAUCUUUCUAAAAUUUCAAGCAUACCUAGAAGAAUCUCGUCUAAUUCCAUGUUCUUCUGUUGGUACUUUCACAAGAAGCAAAGAAAUUGAAGGAGGAAACUAGAGGAUAAAGAGUCUCAAGAGCGAGAAAGAACAGAAGAAAGAAAAGAUUCACGAAGAUUAAGAAUAGAGAAGAAUUUCAAGAAAGAAAGCAGGAAGUAGAGGACGAAAGAGGGGUUUCCAAAAUUGAAGAAAUGAACCCUAACUUCAGGGUUCUUGGGAAAGAAGAAAUUAGGAGAGGAGGAAGGAAUUAUGGAUUACCAGAAGAAAGAAAGAAGAGCAGAAAUAGGGUUCUGCUAAGAAGAAGAAGAAACAGAGAAAUAACAGUAGGAAAGAGAUGGAAGAAAUUUCAGUUUAAGAAAGGAAAAAAAUUCUGGAAAACAAAGAAGGAAGGAAUAGAGGAAGAACGAGAAGAAUUCUCAAGGAAAGAAGAAGAAAGAUUCUGUCAAGAAGAAAGAAGAAAGAAAGGGAAAGAAAGAAAUUUGAGGAGGAAGAAAGAAGAACUAGAGGAAAGAAGGCAGAAUAGAAGAAGAAAGACAACAGGAGAAACCUAUAACUUGGAGGACUGCUACUGAUCUGCGCCUGAUUACAGCUCCCAGAAAUUUAUUUGGAAGCAAAGCCCAUACUCGACAAAGCUCUGAUACCAAUUGUUACAUAUCCAGCCUGCAAUGCCAUUUGAAACAGAGAAAUAGGGAGAGGAAAGGAGAGGAAUAGAUUGGAUUGAGAAAAGAAACAGAAAGGGGAGGAGGUUUAGAGAGAAAAUAGAGAAGAGAUAUUCUUAUAUUUGAUUAAUGAAUCUUCCUUGAUACAAGCUACCCUAUUUAUAUAUAUUCUUGUAAAGAAAUAACUAUUCCUGCCACUAUCUAACUAAUUCCCGACUAACUUCUAUACUCUUCUUUUAUUACAAUUUCAGCCCCAAAAUCCCUUAUUCAUUUGCAACAUCCAUCAUUCUCCUUAUCAUAACAAAGCCACAUGAAAAAUUGUCUAUAACAUCUCAUCUAGUAGCAUAAAAUAAAAUCUUAAGCAAAAGGAAAUGCAGGUAAAGAGCACAAUUCUUACUUAUCACAAAUCUGAAAGUUUUUGCAUUGGUGGCAAACCCAGCGGUUUCCCGAUACCAUCAAAACACAACAGUGGGUGCAGCAAUGCUGUAAAUGAACCAUGAUAAAGUCUUCCUUCAUUGGGCAUAUUGUCUCACCAAGCUGGAGAGAAAGGAAGCUUAAAAGAAUAAAUAUAUAUAUAAUCAUGUAAACUUCUAAAGGUAAUAGUGCAAUAGAGCUCCAAUGAUCUGAAAGCAAAAAAUUGCAUCAAACUAAUAUAUCUGUAACAAGAAAUUGAUCAGGAGGAAGUACUGUAAACUAAGAUACAGGAGGUAAAAAUUACUUUAUGCAUUAGUAGCAGAUCCUUCGAUGCGUUACCAGAAAGAUCCGACUGACCAGAUGCCUUAAGAGCCCUUUUUGUUAUGGUCUUUUUGGUUGUUCCCUUCUUGUUCUGUUUUCUGCCAUCUUCUUCUUGGUUAAGCUGAUAAAUUAAAUCCUCUGCAGCACCAGGCCAAUAGUCACCAUCAAAGUAUGGCAACCUUGCAGCUGUUACCUUUGCCUUGCAUUCCCCAGUAGAUACAAAGAAAUGAUCAUAUAAAUUAGUUAGUUCAACCACAAUAUUUUCCUUAGAGGCUUUUCUUAGCAUUGACAAAUACCUGAAAUAAAGGAAAAAAAAAGGCAUGUCACAGAGUUAGAUAAGAAAACAAACUAAGUUUCACAUGGAUCUCUACUUAAAGAUGUUAGGCUCACCACUCCCGGAGUUUAUCAGAUUUUGGUGUUUUCUGGAUUUCUGGAUGGCAAUAUAAUAUGUAGUCUUCACCCUUUAAAGGAGGGCAAGCCCAUAUAUAGCAGCUAGUAAAACCUCUCUUCUUGCAGUAUUCAAGGUAUCCAAUCUAAACACAUAAACAGUCAGAAAGGUCAAAAUAAUAAGCAAAGUAAUGAAUUAAACAUUGAUAAAGUCAUAUGAAAAGAACAAGACAAACAAAUACUUCCAACUAACCAAAAUUUCAUGGUAAACAAAUGUACGGAGAGCCUCCCCUGUCACUGCUUUAAUCUCGGGUCUAAAAUACUUCACAGAAUCCAGAUACGACAAAUAGACACGGCGUUGAUUUGGAAAUUGACAUUCUGAUCCAAAUUCUUGGACAUACAUGCCGAAUAGACAUACCUCCACACCUUCAAUCUUCUGAAACAACAAAAUCACCUGGAGAAAAACUUUUCAUUCAAUAAACAGAAUCCAGAAGUCGUUGAAAACCAUUAAGUAAUUUACUUAGGUGAACAACAGUACAAUGCUCUUCUGCACAGUCUCUCCAACUCUCUCUCUCUCUCACAGUUGAAAACACUUCAUUCAGGCCUACCACCUGAGCAGAUCUCAAAGGUAUUCAAUCCUUGACUCUGCUAAAAGAUAAUAAAAUAAAGUUGGUGAAUUCCUGCAUACCUUGGACUUGUAUGGGAAUUCAGUUGGGUAAUUUUCUUCUCGAAAAAUUUCAAGAAACCGCUGCUUCACUUCCAACUUUUUGUCAACUGAUGAAACAACUCGAAUUACAAGUGCUUCUGCUCCAGGAACCUUUAAAAUGUUGAUUUUUACAGAAAAUUAGAUACAGCAAUUAUAAUUCAUUGGCAGUUUAAAUAGCAUGCAUGUACAGUAGUUGUAACAUAGAAGAAAAAAAUUACGCUGAAAAUCACCAGUGGAACCCAUUGAGAUUUGGCAUAUACUUGCUUCCCUUCUUUUUGGGUGAAAAAGCUAUUCCUUUUGCAGAACAAAGACACCUAUUUACCAAAACUGCUAUUGUCUCUGGAUUUUUAGCUAAUAAAAAUAAGAAUGUUGAUUUUCAUAAAAUUCAGCAACCCAAGUUUUUAUUUAAAAAGAGGAGGAAAUGAAAUGCAUUUUACACCAAAUCAUAGACUUUUUCCCCAUAAUUUUCACUAAAAUAUGAUGCAUGCAAAUGGGUGGGGGGUGGGGGAACAGCCAUGUCCAUAAUAAGUGUGGCAAAUCCCAAAUAAAAACCAAAAUGCCCUCACUAGUAAGAUUCUGAAGAGAUAGAUGACACCUAUUAAAAAGAACGAACUGGUUUUCUGGCAAAUAUUUCUGAUUCAACACUUCAACAAUGACAUUGGCAAAGUAGGAAACAUGGUUUUAAAUCACGGACGCAGUCGCGAGUAACAGAAACAGGCCUGUAACAGCUGUAACAGCUGUAACAGUUGUAACGUAACGGUAACGACCUGACGCUAUGCAAAUUUUUCAAAAAAAUUUGUAAUGUUUAUAAAUGAAAUGAUAUUGAUUAGAUUUAAUUCAGAACAAUAUAUACAAAUGCAUAAUAAAUAUAAAUACAUAAAAUAUAGAUUAUUUAACUUAAGUUAAAUAUCAUAUAAUUUAAAAUAAGAAAAACCAACAUAAUUUUUAUAGAUCGAGUAAACUAAUACCUCAAACUACAAUUUUAACUUAAAACUACCACUUUAAUCCAUAAAAAAUGUUUAAAAAAAAGGGGAAAAACAACUAAAGACUAAAAUGGGUAAAAUUUAACCAACUUUCUAGAAGAAAUAAGUUUGGAAAUAGAGAAAAAUGAAAAUAGGGGGCAUAAGUGCAAGGAUAUAAAAGAAUUUUAAUUACUGGCAACGGCCGUUGCCAUUGCAUUACGACCAUUACGCAUUCAAAUCAGGAGGGCCAUUGUAUAACGGGGUAAUGGGUAACGGCCCCCCCAAAACCCAUUACACAACGACCAUUACAUUACGUAACGGCCGUUAUUUAAAACAUAGUAGGGAACUUGCUGAAUGUAAAAAAAUAUUGGUCAGUUGAUCACCUCAGAUGUCAGAACUUACGAAUUUACUAUUUCUAGUCCUAGCAGACAAGAUUUCCUAAUUCUAGAGCAACCAACUUAUGGUCUCAUCUUUGAGCCAGCCAUCUAUUAAAAUUUCACAAGCCCCACACUAUACGCAAGGUACCCAUAACAAAAUGACAAAUGUGAACAGUUCAUUUACUGAUCAUCCCUCAUACGCAAGUUGCAUGAGAGCAAAAUGCAACUAUUAUCCAAUAAAGAGAAUAACAUAGAGUUGUUACACGAUAAAUAAAUCACCUCAUCAUAACUUUUUACUUGAAUCCUCGCCCUCUCUUGUCUCUCCUGCUUCAAUCUCUUGAAUAACCGUUGCUCUAUGUGGUCGCUAAGUAUUGUUCGAGGUAGAUCUUUGGCCCCAAGGACUGCACUCUGAGGUAAAGGCUUACGCUCUCCUCUUUCAAUCUCUGCUAUGUAGCAAUUAGGGCAAGUAUAUUCAGCUUGCCCACCAUCAUUUCUUCUCCCAUUAAAUAAAGCACAAAUUUGAUGUUGCCAGGCUUCGCACUUGUCACAUUGAACCCACUGCAUGAGUACACAGGAAAUGAAUGCAAGUUAAUUUUUUGAAAGUAGCAUGCUAAAUAACAAAAAGCAAUGGAUGCAUGUACGGACCCAUUCUUCAGUCUCCUCAUCAUUUUUCUUCUUCUCAAGCCGUGCCUUUUGGAUGGCACUCCCAUCAACGACAAUAGUGUCUCCACGAGCCUCAUUAUAACAAGGAAUACAGAAAUAGUGCCGUGUAUCACCAGCUCCCAUAGUAUAAUACAUUGCAUUUCGUUUAAUGCGAGCACCACAGGGAGUGCAGUAUAUUGGUGGUGGUUCAAAAGUAAGCUUUUCAACUGCACAGAGUUGACAAGAGUUCUCACUCAUUGAAUGCUCCAUUGCUUGGUUCUUCUCUGCCUUUGCCUUACUCUGUACACAGAAAAAAGAAUGAUUAUUGACAAAAACAUAGCAACCUUUAUCUCAUUAAUAAUAAGAGAAAUUAUGUCAUGUGAAAAUUGAUGAUGUGUUGCUGGGUGCAAGAAUACUCCACAUGCGCCUGUGAGCAUCGGGGAUGGGGACCAUUCAAAAGAAGUCCCAAUUGAAAAGAGGUAAUCUUACCUGGCCAACCCAUUGCCUGAGGCCCAUAAUAUGCUCCCUGACUUGUUCAGGAGUGAACAGUUCAGUCAGUGAUACCCCCUUUAUUUUUGGCUUUCCAGACUUGGUUCCAGUUGCAUUAUCUGCAGGUUGUGCAGAAAUUUCUUGCUUGCCUUGAUCUGUUUCUUUCUCAACUUUGAUGCUCUCUUGCUUUGAUAAAUCAGUUGACUCAUCUUGUACAAUAGCUUCACCAUUAGGCUUUUGGCUGUUUCUGUCUACGAUAUCCUUUUUCUUCUCAUUAUUGCUAGGACUUCCUUGUAGAGAACUUAAUGGAAGUUCCAACUUUAUCUCCAUGUACUCGGACUUGACGGGCACAAAUGCGUCACCCUGUUUAUAAUCUUGCAGCUUGACAUCCUGAGAUAUGUGAGAAUCAGUGGCUACAGAAGCAGAUACUACAGCAGUUUCAUUCUCAGGUUUAAAAGAUUGGGGGGACUGCUCUACUUUCAUGCGCUUUAGGGAGGGAUGCAGUUCUUCUGAAGUUUCAACUGCUGGAUUUUUUGAAAUGAAUUUAGCUGAAUUAUCACUAGUAUUGUUGGAUUUGAUAGAAAAACAGGAAUCUGAGCUUGGACGAGUGCGUGCCCUCAUUUGUGCCUCUAAAUAAUUUUUGACAGGAAUACAAACAGGACACCCUGCAUCCCUACAGUGCUUGUUGUGUUGAAUCAAUAUCCUGGUAUGAUGGCAUCGAGGAUAUGGGCAUGGAGAUGAAUUGCAUCUGUCCAUAUGUCUAAGCAACUUUUGCACGGUAAUGCAAUUAACAUCUGAACAUUUCCCUUCAGGAGCUGUACAUCGGCGAGCAUGCCGCAAGAACAAGAGCCACUUCUGUUGAUUUCUGAACUGGCGGUCUCGGUUUGCA